AUUGAACGCUGGCGGCAGGCCUAACACAUGCAAGUCGAGCGGAUGAAGGGAGCUUGCUCCUGGUUUCAGCGGCGGACGGGUGAGUAAUGCCUAGGAAUCUGCCUGGUAGCGGGUGAUAACGUCCGGAAACGGGCGCUAAUACCGCAUACGUCCUGAGUGAGAAAGUGGGGGAUCUUCGGACCUCACGCUAUCAGUUGAGCCUCGGUCCGAUUAGCUAGUUGGUGGGGUAAAGGCCUGCCAAGGCGACGAUCCGUAACUGUUCUGAGAGGAUGAUCAGUCACACUGGAACUGAGACACGGUCCAGACUCCUACGGGAGGCAGCAGUGGGGAAUGUUGGCCGAUGGGCGAAAGCCUGAUCCAGCCAUGCCGCGUGUGUGAAGAAGGUCUUCGGAUUGUAAAGCACUUUAAGUUGGGAGGAAGGGCAGUAAGUUAAUACCUUGCUGUUUUGACGUUACCAACAGAAUAAGCACCGGCUAACUACGUG
rnacentral:rRNA from 1 species